GGACCACUUGGAGAAAAUGUAUGUGUUCUCUGCAAGUGAGAGAUGCCAAGAAUAUUGAUAUCUAAGAAAGCAAGAACUGAGGUCUCACUAAAGGGUGAUAAAGAGACUGACUGGUUAAAGGCUCAGAGCCAGAAGGGCACCCCCACAUUGGGAUCAGCCUUUACUCCAAAGUUUAUCACCAAACAGUGCUUGAUAAGUGUUUUAAAGACACAGUUGAGCUGGAGAAAAGUAAGGUCAGAAAAAGUGAAUGCCAGAACAGACAAGAAAGUGGGAAACAAGAGAGAUAAAGGAGUUCUUUGCCUUGAAAGUGGCUUUGGUCCUUAAUGCUUCAAAUGGGAGACCAGAGACCAAGUGGGAGGAUGGUCCAGAAACCACUUUUUCCAUCUGGUUAGGAGGGGGUGGUGAAGACUGUGACAAACUAGAAAGAGUAUGUCCUAAUUGGAUAGUCAGCAUUUAGCUUUAGUUUAUUAUUCCCAUGUGUCAGUUUGAGGCUGACAUUAACAAAAGCUUACCAUUUUCCAAAAGAAGACCCAGAAACCAGAAGAUACAGAAACCUGGACUUUUGGAUAUUUUUCGUAGUUUUUAUUUGUUGGUAAAUCAUGCAGAUCUUUUCUUAGAAGUGAGUUGUCUAUCAGAUAAAAACAUCAAAGGGCUCAAUUUAAUUCAUACUAUUAAUGUUUUACUGAUGAGGUAAGUGCUAGUAGUAAGAGGUACAUAUGUACAAUAGAAAAAAGAGAGAGAAUAUUAUCAUCAGAGAGUGGUGAGAAGAUUAUGAAUAUUGCAAAUGAAUGAAUUUGCAGUAUGGUAAAAAGGAAAGAUUUUUGAAGGACAAAAACUAAAUCAUGCCAUCAACAGUAAGCACAGUGCUUCAGCAAGACAUAAAGAAGUGUUAAGGGCAGAAUGGAUAACCUCCUAAGUGUGGCUUGAGAAUCAGCAUCCAUGCUGGAAGCCCGCUAGCUUAAUAUUCACUGAGGAGAAGGAUCAAUGUUUGUUAAAGCCCUAAAGACAAAGCAAGGUGAAAAUGCUAUUGCUGCGCGUUUUAGUGCAGCUCUUGAAUGUGCAAUGGUUCAAGGCCUAUUGAUCCCUGCACAUCACCAAAGGAGUAAUGAUGAGGCCAACAGACACUGGGGCAUUCUGGGGCUGCCCUGGAGAGCAUCAGUUGUGUGGGUGAGGAGAGGAGAAGAUUAUCGGCUUUUGCUAAUUUUUAAUGCAGAUGAAACUGAUCUAACUGUUCUAUUUUAGGAAACGUUAUCUGAGAGAAUAACCAUCAAUUAGGUAGAAAUUUGAUCCCCGUUUUAAAACUGCGAAGAGACUGCGAAGGGCCAAAUCAAACUAUA
rnacentral:lncRNA from 1 species